UACGAAGGGGGCUAGCGUUGUUCGGAUUUACUGGGCGUAAAGCGCACGUAGGCGGAUCGAUCAGUCAGGGGUGAAAUCCCAGAGCUCAACUCUGGAACUGCCUUUGAUACUGUCGAUCUGGAGUAUGGAAGAGGUGAGUGGAAUUCCGAGUGUAGAGGUGAAAUUCGUAGAUAUUCGGAGGAACACCAGUGGCGAAGGCGGCUCACUGGUCCAUUACUGACGCUGAGGUGCGAAAGCGUGGGGAGCAAACGG
rnacentral:rRNA from 1 species